rnacentral:miRNA from 1 species
UGGCACUCCAGAUGUUUUGGACUACACCCCCAUGAUGCUUUAUCAGCAUUAUGGGGGAUGUAGUCUACAACAUCUGGGUUGCCG